CUUAAAUAACCUGCAGUUGUACCAAGCGAAGAAACUCAAUUUAAACGAAAGGAGACAAAAAAAGAAGCUGCGGCGAUGAAACGCCAUUAGACAAAAGAAGAAGAUGCGACGAAACUAAUUGCUAGUAUUUUUGACAUUGGAACCAACUUGCUACAAGAAUAUCUUCUGGAAAUUGGAUGUUAAUGAAAAAUCAGGACAUCCCUGCUGGUUCAGUAGACUGUGGAAUAGACAUGUUGAUGGUAUUUGAAUAUUAACUGCUGUUGUAUCUGAAAAGGUGUCAUCCAAAUGGUUUAAAAAUGAAGAUCCUAAAGGUCACCGGGUAAUGACCUCUAUACAGUAGAAGAUGAGGAGCUGACAGAUGGCCUCUACAACUACCUGAAGAAGUGCUGACAAGAGCUGUAGGCACUUUUGAAAAGAUCGAUGGAGUUCACGUCAUUCUGGAUGUGCUGAUGCCAGAGGCUCAUUUGGCUUUAGUGAAUCUCUAAUGAGUACAGAAAGUGUCUGUGAGUAAGAAGCAGAAGGUCUGAUCAUUGAUGGACCAGCAGACGGUGAGUGAAGAGUUUGACACACUUGAGCUUCAACUGUUGGAGUACGAGGACAGACAGCAUCACUGAGGCUUUUCAACUUGGGAUUCCAUCUCAGCGCCUCCUCUGAUAAACGUGUCACUUGCUUUAUUUGUCUUUGACCUUUUUUUAUUUCUGAGUGUUA